rnacentral:rRNA from 1 species
CCCUUAGAUGUCCUGGGCCGCACGCGCGUUACACUGAUGCAUUCAACGAGCUUAUAACCUUGGCCGAGAGGCCUGGGCAAUCUUGUUAACGUGCAUCGUGAUAGGGAUAGAUUAUUGAAAUUAUUAAUCUUGAACGAGGAAUUCCUAGUAAACGCAGAUCAUCAAUCUGCAGUGAUUACGUCCCUGCCCUUUGUACACACCGCCCGUCGCACCUACCGAUUGGAUGGUCCGGUGAAGCCUCGGGAUUGUGGUUCUUGCCGCUUUAUUGUGGCGUGACCGCGAGAACUUGUCUAAACCUUAUCAUCUAGAGGAAGGUGAAGUCGUAACA